rnacentral:rRNA from 1 species
GAUGAACGCUAGCGGCAGGCCUAAUACAUGCAAGCCGAACGGCAAGUUUGAUAGCAAUAUUGGACCUAGAGUGGCGCAAGGGUGCGUAACACGUAUGCAACCUGCCCGCGACAGGAGGAUAGCUCCCCGAAAGGGGAAUUAACCCUCCAUAACACCAUGAGAAGGCAUCUGAUUAUGGUUAAACCGCAAGGGGUCGCGGAUGGGCAUGCGGUGGAUUAGCUAGUUGGCGGGGUAAAGGCCCACCAAGGCGGUGAUCAAUAGGGGUUCUAAGAUGAAGGUCCCCCACACUGGCACUGGGAGACGGGCCAGACUCCUGCGGGAGGCAGCAGUAAGGAAGAUUGGACAAAGGUUGCAAGACUGAUCCAGCCAAGCAGCGAGCAUGAAGAAGGCCUUCUGGGUCGUAAACUGCUUUAUCCUGUGGAUAAAAUACCCGUGCGCGGGGAAUUGAAGGUAACAGGGGAAUAAGCCACGGCUAACUACGUG